ensembl:lncRNA
GUAGGACCGUUCCGUUAGGAGGUAGGACUGUUCCGUUAGGAGUUAGGACCGUUCUGUUAGGAGGUAGGACACUUCCGUUAGGAGGUAGGACACUUCCGUUAGGAGGUAGGAUACAUCCGUUAGGAGGUAGGACUGUUCCGUUAGGAGGCAGGACACUUCGGUUAGGAGGUAGGACUGUUCCGUUAGGAGGUAGGACACUUCGGUUAGGAGGUAGGACUGUUCCGUUAGGAGGUAGGACACUUCGGUUAGAAGGUAGGACCGUUCCGUUAGGAGGUAGGACCGUUCCGUUAGGAGGUAGGACACUUCCGUUAGAAGGUAGGACACUUCCGUUAGAAGGUAGGACCGUUCUGUUAGGAGGUAGGACCGUUCCGUUAGGAGGUAGGACUGUUCCGUUAGGAGGUAGGACCGGUCCGUUAGGAGGUAGGACCGUUCUGUUAGGAGGUAGGACACUUCCGUUAGGAGUUAGGACCGUUCUGUUAGGAGGUAGGACUGUUCCGUUAGGAGGUAGGACUGUUCCGUUAGGAGGUAGGACCGGUCCGUUAGGAGGUAGGACCGGUCCGUUAGGAGGUAGGACCGUUCCGUUAGGAGGUAGGACACUUCCGUUAGGAGUUAGGACCGUUCUGUUAGGAGGUAGGACACUUCUGUUAGGAGGUAGGAUACAUCCGUUAGGAGGUAGGACUGUUCCGUUAGGAGGCAGGACACUUCGGUUAGGAGGUAGGACUGUUCCGUUAGGAGGUAGGACACUUCGGUUAGAAGGUAGGACCGGUCCGUUAGGAGGUAGGACUGUUCGGUUAGGAGGUAGAACCGUUCCGUUAGGAGGUAGGACACUUCCGUUAGAAGGUAGGACCGUUCCAUUAGGAGGUAGGACUGUUCCGUUAGGAGGUAGGACACUUCCGUUAGAAGGUAGGACUGUUCCGUUAGGAGGUAGGACCGUUCCGUUAGGAGGUAGGACCGUUCCGUUAGGAGGUAGGACUGUUCCGUUAGGAGGCAGGACCGUUCCGUUAGGAGGUAGGACUGUUCCGUUAGGAGGUAGGACUGUUCCAUUAGGAGGUAGGACCGUUCCG